CCUACGGGGGGCAGCAGUGAGGAAUAUUGGUCAAUGGGCGGGAGCCUGAAACAGCCAAGCCGCGUGAGGGAAGAAGGUACAGCGUAUCGUAAACCUCUUUUGUCAGGGAACAAAGGCGGGGACUAGUCCCCGGAUGAGGGUACCUGAAGAAAAAGCAACGGCUAACUCCGUGCCAGCAGCCGCGGUAAUACGGAGGAUGCGAGCGUUAUCCGGAUUUAUUGGGUUUAAAGGGUGCGCAGGCGGCCUGUUAAGUCAGGGGUAAAAGCUCGGGGCUCAACCCCGGCGAGGCGUUGAAACUGGGGGGCUGGAGUUGGAGAGAAGUACGCGGAAUGCGGUGUGUAGCGGUGAAAUG
rnacentral:rRNA from 1 species